ensembl:snRNA U6 U6 spliceosomal RNA
ACGUUUGCCAUGGAAGCAUAUAUACUAAAAGUGCAACGGUGCUUAGCACAGCCACUGCCCAAGAAUGACACACAAAUUCAUGAAGCGCCUGGAUUUUUA